AAAGCACUGUUUCUCGUACAAUUACCGAAGUUAAGCAACAUCGAGCCUGGUCAGUACCUAGAUGAUUGACCACUUGGGAAUACCAGGUGCUGUAAG